GACGAACGCUGGCGGCGUGCUUAACACAUGCAAGUCGAACGAAGAGCGAUGGAAGCUUGCUUCUAUCAAUCUUAGUGGCGAACGGGUGAGUAACGCGUAAUCAACCUGCCCUUCAGAGGGGGACAACAGUUGGAAACGACUGCUAAUACCGCAUACGAUCUAAUCUCGGCAUCGAGGAUAGAUGAAAGGUGGCCUCUACAUGUAAGCUAUCACUGAAGGAGGGGAUUGCGUCUGAUUAGCUAGUUGGAGGGGUAACGGCCCACCAAGGCGAUGAUCAGUAGCCGGUCUGAGAGGAUGAACGGCCACAUUGGGACUGAGACACGGCCCGGACUCCUACGGGAGGCAGCAGUGGGGAAUCUUCCGCAAUGGACGAAAGUCUGACGGAGCAACGCCGCGUGAGUGAUGACGGCCUUCGGGUUGUAAAGCUCUGUUAAUCGGGACGAAAGGCCUUCUUGCGAAUAGUGAGAAGGAUUGACGGUACCGGAAUAGAAAGCCACGGCUAACUACGUG
rnacentral:rRNA from 1 species